rnacentral:rRNA from 1 species
AGAUGUGGGUAGUCCGCGACGAGCGCACCUCACUUUUAGUUGCCAUCAUUAAGUUGGGCACUCUGUAAAGAACUGCCAGUGAUAAGCUGGAGGAAGGUGGGGAUGACGUCAAGUCCUCAUGGCCCUUACGUGUUGGGCUACACACGUGCUACAAUGGCAUCUACAACAGGAAGCAAAACGGCAACGUUAGCAAAUCCCGAAAAGAUGCCUCAGUUCGGAUUGCACUCUGCAACUCGAGUGCAUGAAGCUGGAAUUACUAGUAAUCGUGGAUCAGCGUGCCACGGUGAAUGCGUUCCCGGGUCUUGUACACACCGCCCGUCACACCAUGGGAGUUGGUUCUACCUUAAGGCAAGGUUUUAAACCCUUGACCACGGUAUAGUCAGCGACUGGGGUGAAGUCGUAACAAGGUAGCCGUAGGGGAACCUGCGGCUGGAUUACCUCCUUUCU